GUGAGGGGGUGACUAGUGACAGAGUGAGGGAGUGGGUGACACAGUGACAGAGUUAGGGAGGGAGUGACUAGUGACAGAGAGGGAUGGGGUGACUAGUGACAGUCACCCCUCCCUCUGUCACCAGUCAUCCCCUCACUCUGUCACUAGUCACCUCUUCCCUCCCUAACUCUGUCACUAGUCACCCCCUCUCCCUCCCUCUGUCACUAGUCACCCCCUCUCCCUCCCUCUGUCACUAGUCACCCACUCCCUCAC